AGCAGCCGCGGUAAUUCCAGCUCCAAUAGCGUAUAUUAAAGUUGUUGCAGUUAAAAAGCUCGUAGUUGAAUUUCGGGAUCAGUACGCUGGUCGUGCCUUCGGUAUGUACUGGUGUUACUGGUUCCUACCUUCUGACGAACCGUCAUGUCAUUAAUUUGGUGUGGCGGGGAAUCAGGACUGUUACUUUGAAAAAAUUAGAGUGUUUAAAGCAGGCUCGCGCUUGAAUACAUUAGCAUGGAAUAAUGAAAUAGGACGUUCGAUCCUAUUUUGUUGGUUUCUAGGAUUGACGUAAUGAUUAAUAGGGAUAGUUGGGGGCAUUAGUAUUCAAUUGUCAGAGGUGAAAUUCUUGGAUUUAUUGAAGACUAACUACUGCGAAAGCAUUUGCCAAGGAUGUUUUCAUUAAUCAAGAACGAAAGUUAGGGGAUCGAAGACGAUCAGAUACCGUCGUAGUCUUAACCAUAAACUAUGCCGACUAGGGAUCGGAUGAUGUAAUUUUUAAUGA
rnacentral:rRNA from 1 species